UUUCCGUAGGUGAACCAGCGGAGGGAUCAUUAUAGUAUAACCAAGGUCCCAGGACUGUUGCUGACGCGACCGAUACUGCACCCCCGAGUGCCCUCCCCCGCAUCCAUCUCCCCCCUGUCCCCACCACCCCCUGCGUCCGCCCUCCGCUUGUUCCCAGACGGUUGUACGUUUUUACCCAAUCUGUGUCUUCUGUACUGAAUGAAUUAUUUGUUUUUGCAAUCACGCAAUCAAUACAACUAUCGACAACGGAUCCCUUGGCUCUCGCAUCCAUGAAGAAGG
rnacentral:misc_RNA from 1 species